rnacentral:tRNA from 1 species
GCCCUUAUAGUUAAAUGGUAUAACACAUCCAUGGUAAGGAUGAGUUUCCAGUUCAAUUCUGGGUGAGGGCACCA